UUUUUGGUACAUAUUGCAGGAGCCUGGUAGCUGUUCCCCGUCCCACAAACGAUUUUCGCGGCAUGCGUCGCCCACCGUGGGAGCCCUCGAUCCUAGCCUCCCUCACGGCUCCCUUCACCUGUGCUUUGUCCGCAAUUUGCCCAUUCUCCCUCGCCCCCGCGCAGCCCCGCAGCCGCUCGGCUCGUUAGGCUGCAAAUAAAGGGGAGGAAAAGCCUCAAGUCGACCCCAUCCCGCCCACAAAUACGCCUUUUGUGCAAGUUCCCAAGGAAAAACGCGCGCGGGGGAGUCGGGGGAUGUCGCACACGCACAGCUUUGCCCAGAGAAAGGCUCAACACUCCAAAGCAAAAGGAAGAUAAAGAGGGGAACUUCGCACAUUAAAAAAAAAAAAAGAAAAGAAAAGAAAAGAAACUUAAAAAUAGGCAGAGGCGGGUGAAGGAGCCUGCGGAGAGGGAGCGGCGCGGUCCUCGAUGUGGCUGGUCUUUCGGGGUAUGCACCUGCACAUAAGAGAGGCAGCGGAGAAGCUGGAAGAGGCGCAAGCGUAUGUAAGGUGACGAUUCGAUGUUAGAGCUAGGAAGGAAGCGGUGAAGGACAUAUUUCUCAGACCACUGGGAAAUCCAGCCAGGACGAAUGGGUUCGGAACUGAUUGUGCGUCCCAGCCCCGUCUCGGCACCCCUCACCUGCUGGGUAUUCUUCUCCCCGAAAAGGGAGACGCUGUCGCCAGCCGCACACUGGGGUCGCCCCUACACAGAACGACUCUAACACGAAGAACUGUCGCUCAGGCAGAAAAACUAUGGGAAAAUGAGUGUUUGAAGACUGCAGAUUUUUUUCCAGGCGGGGACAGACGGAUGUGCCCAGGCGGUUGCAUGUAGGGGCUGAACCCGGCGGAGGCGCAGGUCUGCCCGCUGAGGCUUCCCUUGCUGCUGACCCUCAGCCGGCCGGGCUGUCCCGGGGCCAGAGCCAACCCCACAAGUGCCAUCAGAGGCAUUUGGGGUUGGAGCGGCACGGAGGUGUGUGAUUUUUCCUUCAUGCCGGCUAGAAGAGAAAGGUGUUUUCCUCUGCUGUUGAGUUUUCGCACUAAAGAUGUCAUUUGGAAGUCUGGGAGGAAGGGGGGACGGUGCUUCACUCACUUUCACGAUUAUCGGAACCCUUUCAAAACUCACACAACAAAUACAGCCACCGCAUCUAAUGCAUCAUUUACCAGAGCAGAUCUCCGCGUUUGAUCGGCAGAUAGGCAAAAUCUAUGUAUUCCUUGCUGUACUUAGCAUGCAUGGAUGUGGGGCUGUAUGGAUGCAGGGUGCCCCCAGGCCGGGUCUGGGACACCCCCGAGGCUCUUAGCAUGUCUGUGCUGAGGUCUCUGUGGAGUGAGGGAGAGUAUCCUCUGAGUGCCCCAAACCAGGGGCAGCGAAGUGGGGACAGAAAACCUUGCAAGGUGCUGCUACAUGAUGCACUUUGAAAAUUUUAUUUCCUCCACUGGUGGACUUUCAGGGAAAGGGAAAGAGGUUUUAUCAUCACCCUGGGCAUCCCAGGCACCUGCUUGUACUACACUCAAUCCUGCACCCACAACCAGAACCAGUUGCUGUUUUCAGGGGUGCUCAGAACCUGCUACCUCUGAAAACCACUUUUAGGUUCAGCAGUGCCCUAGUUCUGCCCCAUCCUUUAGCAGUCUCAGAGCCAAGGGGGACCCCAGCCCAUUUCCUCCCAAAUCCUGACAGCCCUGUUAUGGAGCCCAGCCAGUCCCCUGGGUCCUGGUUUCCAGCUGUCACAGUCAGUGCCAGGUGAUCCUCCCACAUUCCAGCCAUGGGCAGAACAGGGCACAUGGCGCAACCCAAAUUUGGGGAGCAGCUGGUGAACCUGGGGGAGGAAAAAAAAAUAAACUCCAAAGAAAAGGAGUCUUUUAUUUUUCCUGGAGUUAGUGUGAC